rnacentral:rRNA from 1 species
UACAGAGGGGGCAAGCGUUGUUCGGAAUUACUGGGCGUAAAGGGCGCGUAGGCGGCCUGUUAAGUCGAACGUGAAAUCCCCGGGCUCAACCCGGGAACUGCGUCCGAUACUGGCAGGCUUGAAUUCGGGAGAGGGAUGCGGAAUUCCAGGUGUAGCGGUGAAAUGCGUAGAUAUCUGGAGGAACACCGGUGGCGAAGGCGGCAUCCUGGACCGAGAUUGACGCUGAUGCGCGAAAGCCAGGGGAGCAAAGCGGG